CCAGGGAUGAGCCUGGACGGCUGCAGCAACCCACCCUGCCUUGGAGCCUGGAUUAGGGAAAGGCAGCUUGUCCUUGCCAAGGAGCCGAGGGGGAUCAGAGGAGGGUUUCAAGAAGGGGCUGAGGCUUUGAUUCCUGUGCAGAAGAUUUCCCGGGAGCAGCCAGACGCGGCAGCAUCCCUGCGGCUCGGCACUGCGCUGGCGCCCAGAAAGAAUAUCUUGGAUUAGGUGGCUGCAAAUGAGAGGUUUCAGUCAUGGAAUGGGAUGAGCUGCAGCUUGUGGCUGUUCAAGCUCAGCAGUGCUAAAACGUGACAUGGGCUCGCAGAGGACACGUGCAGCCCGUGGAGUGAACUGCAACCUGAACAGCUCUCCCAGCAGCUGAGGCUCCGUGUCCUUCUAGUAAUAAAUUCCUCCUGGACAGUGUUUCA
rnacentral:lncRNA from 1 species